rfam:Schistosoma rodhaini strain Burundi genome assembly, scaffold: SROB_scaffold0000421
AUCCAGCUGACGAGUCCAAAAUAGGACGAAAUGCGCGUCAAACUGGAU